rnacentral:misc_RNA from 1 species
UCGUGGUGGCAUGCAAAUUUUCGUCAAGACCCUGACCGGCAAGACCAUCACCCUUGAGGUCGAGUCAUCUGAUACCAUCGACAACGUAAAGGCCAAGAUCCAGGACAAAGAAGGAAUUCCCCCAGAUCAGCAACGUCUCAUUUUCGCCGGAAAGCAACUCGAGGAUGGCCGUACGUUGGCCGACUACAACAUCCAAAAGGAAUCAACCCUCCACCUGGUCCUCCGUCUUCGUGGUGGCAUGCAA